rnacentral:rRNA from 1 species
CCUACGGGAGGCAGCAGUGGGGAAUAUUGGACAAUGGGGGCAACCCUGAUCCAGCGACGCCGCGUGAGUGAAGAAGUAUUUCGGUAUGUAAAGCUCUAUCAGCAGGGAAGAAGAUGACGGUACCUGAUUAAGAAUCCCCGGCUAAAUACGUGCCAGCAGCCGCGGUAAUACGGAGGGGGCGGGCGUCAUCCGGAUUUACUGGGUGUAAUGGGAGCGUAGACGGUGCAGCAAGUCUGAUGUGAAGGGUACGGGCCCAACCCCGGGACUGCAUUGGAAACUGUUGAACUGGAGUACAGGAGAGGUAAGCGGAAUUCCUAGUGUAGCGGUGAAAUGCGUAGAUAUUAGGAGGAACACCAGUGGCGAAGGCGGCUUACUGGACUGUAACUGACGUUGAGGCUCGAAAGCGUGGGGAGCAAACAGGAUUAGAUACCCGAGUAGUC